AUUGAACGCUGGCGGCAGGCUUAACACAUGCAAGUCGAGCGGAGAUGAGGUGCUUGCACCUUAUCUUAGCGGCGGACGGGUGAGUAAUGCUUAGGAAUCUGCCUAUUAGUGGGGGACAACAUUUCGAAAGGAAUGCUAAUACCGCAUACGCCCUACGGGGGAAAGCAGGGGAUCUUCGGACCUUGCGCUAAUAGAUGAGCCUAAGUCGGAUUAGCUAGUUGGUGGGGUAAAGGCCUACCAAGGCGACGAUCUGUAGCGGGUCUGAGAGGAUGAUCCGCCACACUGGGACUGAGACACGGCCCAGACUCCUACGGGAGGCAGCAGUGGGGAAUAUUGGACAAUGGGGGGAACCCUGAUCCAGCCAUGCCGCGUGUGUGAAGAAGGCCUUUUGGUUGUAAAGCACUUUAAGCGAGGAGGAGGAGCUCUAGAUUAAUACUCUAGAUGCUUGGACGUUACUCGCAGA
rnacentral:rRNA from 1 species